GACGAACGCUGGCGGCGUGCUUAACACAUGCAAGUCGAACGGAAAGGCCCUGCUUUUGUGGGGUGCUCGAGUGGCGAACGGGUGAGUAACACGUGAGUAACCUGCCCUUGACUUUGGGAUAACUUCAGGAAACUGGGUCUAAUACCGGAUAGGAGCUCCUGCUUCAUGGUGGGGGUUGGAAAGUUUCGGCGGUUGGGGAUGGACUCGCGGCUUAUCAGCUUGUUGGUGGGGUAGUGGCUUACCAAGGCUUUGACGGGUAGCCGGCCUGAGAGGGGAACCGGCCACAUUAGGACUGAGAUACGGCCCAGACUAGUACGGGAGGCAACAGUGGGGAAUAUUGCACAGUGGGCGGAAGCCUGAUGCAGCAAAGCCGCGUGCGGGAUGACGGGCUUCGGGUUGUAAACCGAUUUCGCCUGUGACGAAGAGUGAGUGACGGUAAUGGGUAAAGAAGCACCGGCUAACUACGUG
rnacentral:rRNA from 1 species